UAAUUAUACAGUGACAAGAAAUUGUAGCGUUGGUCAGUGAGAGACUGAGAGAUAGCUUGUAUCAACUUGAAGUUCAUUUUUUAUAAGUUUUACAUGCUUAUAUUAAACUUCACAGACAUCAUAAAACCCAUAUUGCUUAGACUUACUGCCAAGGGGUCAAGGUUUGGCUAGUUAGCCCCUGCUGGUGGAUACCACAACUCCAUGCAAGCCAAGAAAUGAGUGAGCAAAAAUACAAGUCAAGUCACCUUUUUUUAUAUGGCACUUUUUACAAUGCAGAUGGUUUCAAAGCAGCUUUACAGUAUAGCAGGAAACAUAAUUUUGCAGCUCUAGAAGAAAAUAGUGUCAGUUGUCCUUCUUAAGUAAGUUCAUUAUUGAUUCAUUAGUUAUUAAUUUAGUUCAUUUAUCUAUACAGCAGCUCUGGAGAAAACAGUGGUGUCAUCGUCCAGCUCAGUUCAGUUCGCAUACAAUGGUGUCAAUGCAGGCAGAUCAAUAAUAUGGUUGAAUAUUAAGUGUCCUCAACUAAGCAAGCCAGAGGCGAUAGUGGCAAGGAACCCAAAGUCCAUCAGGUGACAGAAUGGAGAAAAAAAAAAAAAAACCUUUGGAGAAACCAGGCUCAUUCGGGGGGCCAGUUCUCCUCUGGCCAACAAACGAACAGUGCAUGAUUUAUGAUUUAGGCAGCACUACAGGUCAGAAGUCAGAUUGGGAUUGGAACAUACAAAAUAUUUAUUCCAGUUCCAUCUGGUUGAAGAUUGGAUUCAUCACGCUGGUAUAUGGCUGUCGUGUCGAUGAGGCCUUCACAGGGGAUAGUCUAGUUGACACAGUCUCUGCUGAUACUUUAGGGAUGUGUUGUGCUUGUGUUUAGGCGCAGGUCCUCCAUCUGAUCUGGAUACGGCCCGGCUGACUACGGUAAAACUCGGGAUAAACAGAGAGACUAAUAUUAGCGUAGAUGCCAUUCUUCUUAUGAUGUAACAACAGUACAUCAGGUGUUAUUGGAAGUGUUCCCAGUUCCGGCUGACCUACUUUAUGCAGCCUAACAAUCGUUUAACUGAUUUGAAAAUAGAUAUUAAUAAUGUCUUAUGUGUAUGCCAGGUUAAAGAGAAAGAAAAAAAAACUAUGUAGCCUACAUGAGAUGAAUGGGAAUGCUAAUGCUAAUACGUUUCUCUAAAUAAUUUUAUUAAAGGAACAUUACAAAACACUACAAUAUUGAAUAUAGGCCUAUAGAAGUUGGUUUUCUUUGGGGAUUAGAGAAAGAGAACAAAUAAUGAUGCACAUGGAGUAUUUUUCAAGUAUAUAUUCAAACCAAGACAUGCAUUUCAUACAUUAUAUUGGCGACAUACUGUACAUUGUAGCCUACUGCGUAAGGGAAUUCAUAGGAAUGACUCUGCUGUCACUGAAAUCACUAAGGCCCGGUUUCACAGACCAGGUUUAGCCUAAGCCUGGAUUAGGCCUUAGUUCAAUUAGGGCAUAUAAGUAGCUUUUAUAAACGUUCACAAGAAAAAAACAUUAAUGGUGUGCAUCUCGAGACAAAACAGUGGCACUGACAUAUUUUAAGAUAUGUCAGUGCAAGUUACUUUGAGGUAAAACAGCUCAAACACGUAUUUUAGUCUAGGACUAGCCUAAGCCUUGUCUGUGAAACCGGGGGUAAAAAGUUCCUCAUACUGGAGGAGACAGAAGCCUUUGCAUUUCCUUGAAAAAAGCAACGUGCGCCAACAAGCCAUUCAUACAACGGUCAUGACGUCAUUGAUUGCGCAAAAUUGUCUGUGAAAUAUAAAAUAAUUAUAGGCUAUUUUUUCGUAGUAAACACCAAAAAUAACACAAUUUAAAAUAAAUAUGUAAAAAAAAAUAGUUGAAGAUUAUUUUCAAGCUGCUACACACAUUACAGUUUAUUCAGCGAACUUUUUACUCCAUUGAUUUUCCUUUAACAGAACAGCCUUUUGUCUCGUUACUGGAUUCUACGCUAAUCUUUGAGGCUAGGAUUAGGGAGAUAAUUAUACGGACAUAUUUUUCUAUUUCCCUUCGUUCAUACCGGAAGUGGUUAACAGAUUGUAUUGUAACGUUAUUGUUCAUUUUAAACAGGUCCAACGGACUCCCAAAUUGAUUAAGAAGAAUCAACAUCCAGAGACUCGCUCUUCAGCUUUAAUGAGAAAACUUCACGCAGGGCUUUUACAAGACGACCAGAGGGAUGGUAUCAGUGAAAGGCACUCAGUGUUCAGUUAUUAAUCUCCCGCCGCCGUUGGCCCUUUCAUAAAAGGUUUAUCAAUGCAGAAUCGCUCUAAUUCCAUCUCUCUCACUGUCCCAGAGGAUUUCUGACGUUGAGGAUCGACACUUUUAGCUGAUGGUAGAUCUGACGGUGGCUAGUCUGUCAUCUGCCCUCUGCCAUGGUGGGU